UCAAGCUACAAAGAGCUUACGGAGAAUGCCUUGGUACAUGGCGCCGAAGAAGGACGUGACAAGCUGCGAAAAGCUGCGGGGAGGAGCAAAUAUCCUGUGAUCCGCAGAUAUCCGAAUGAGGGAACUCUGCACAAGUAAUAUUGUGUAAUCCGUUACUGAAUCCAUAGGUAACGGAGGGGAACCCGGGGAACUGAAACAUCUAAGUACCCGGAGGAAAAGAAAAUAACAAUGAUUCCGAAAGUAGUGGCGAGCGAAAUCGGAGAAGCCCAAACCUUAGGUAGUAAUACUUAAGGGGUAAGGACCGCGAGAUAGCAUCGGGAAAGGUAGUUGAAUUAUCUGGAAAGGUAAGACAAAGAGGGUGAAAUCCCCGUAAACGAAAUCUUAAACGAGCGAGCGUAAUCCGGAGUACGUCGGGACACGAGAAAUCCUGACGGAAGAAAUGGGGACCAUCCCAAAAGGCUAAAUACGACCAUGUGACCGAUAGCGAAUAGUACCGUGAGGGAAAGGUGAAAAGAACCCCGGGAGGGGAGUGAAAUAGAACCUGAAACCGUAAGCUUACAAGCAGACAGAGCACAUUUUAGGUGUGAUGUCGUACUUUUUGUAGAACGGGCCGGCGAGUUACGAUGUGAUGCGAGGUUAAGUGUUAAAGACACGGAGCCGAAGCGAAAGCGAAUCUGAAAAGGGUGCAAAGUAUCAUGUCGUAGACCCGAAACCGAAUGACCUAACCAUGAGCAGGUUGAAGCAAUGGUAAAACGUUGUGGAGGACCGAACACACGCCUGUUGAAAUAGUCGGUGAUGACUUGUGGUUAGCGGAGAAAUUCCAAACGAAUUCGGAUAUAGCUGGUUCUCCUCGAAAUAGCUUUAGGGCUAGCCUCGUAUAUGAUCCUUGUCGGUAGAGCACUAACUGGCCUAGGGGGCUUCACAGCCUACCGAAGCUUAUUAAACUCCGAAUGGCAAGGAAUCGAGUACGGGAGUCAGACAGCGACAGCUAAGUGCCGUUGUCAAAAGGGAAACAGCCCAGAUCUACAGCUAAGGUCCCCAAGUGCAGGUUAAGUGGAAAAGGAUGUGACAAUGCAUAGACAACCAGGAUGUUGGCUCAGAAGCAGCCACACAUUAAAAGAGUGCGUAAUAGCUCACUGGUCGAGUGAUGUUGCGCCGAAAAUUAACGGGGCUCAAACCUGCCACCGAAGCUUAGGAAUACGCGAUGCGUAUUGGUAGAGGAGCAAUGUAUAUGCGCAGAAGCCGUACCGGAAGGAGCGGUGGAGUAUAUAGAAGAGAGAAUGCCGGCAUAAGUAGCGAGAGCGGAGCGAGAAACUCCGCCGUCGAAAGUCUGAGGUUUUCCGGGGAAGGUUCGUCCGCCCGGAGUAAGUCGGGACCUAAGCGGAGGCCGAAAGGCGUACGUGAUGGACAGCGGGUUGAUAUUCCCGCACUACCGAGAGAGUAAAUGAAGCAGUGACACGGAAAGAUAGAAGAAGCGCGCAGAUGGAAAAGCGCGUCCAAGCAGUGAGGGAGGCUUGUAGUAAAGUACGCAAGUCAUAAUCCUGGGCUGUGACGGGGAGUGGACCAAGGAAACGAAGUCUUCGAAUCUACGCCGGCGAGAAAAGCUGCUAAAUAUUUCGAGGUACCCGUACCGCAAACCGACACAGGUAGACGAGAAGAAAAUUCUAAGACGAACGGGAGAACCCUUGUUAAGGAACUCGGCAAAAUGACCCCGUAACUUCGGGAGAAGGGGAGCCAUGGAGACAUGGCCGCAGUAAAGAGGCCCAAGCGACUGUUUAUCAAAAACACAGGUUUCUGCUAAGGCGUAAGCCAAGGUAUAGGAGCUGACUCCUGCCCAGUGCCGGAAGGUCAAGGGGAUCCGUCAACGCAAGUGAAGCGGUGAACUUAAGCCCCGGUGAACGGCGGCCGUAACUAUAACGGUCCUAAGGUAGCGAAAUUCCUUGUCGGGUAAGUUCC
rnacentral:rRNA from 1 species